UACGUAGGGCGCAAGCGUUAUCCGGAAUUAUUGGGCGUAAAGAGCUCGUAGGCGGUUUGUCGCGUCUGCCGUGAAAGUCCGGGGCUCAACUCCGGAUCUGCGGUGGGUACGGGCAGACUAGAGUGAUGUAGGGGAGACUGGAAUUCCUGGUGUAGCGGUGAAAUGCGCAGAUAUCAGGAGGAACACCGAUGGCGAAGGCGGCUUUCUGGCCUGUAACUGACGCUGAGGCGCGAAGGCUGGGGUAGCGAACAGG
rnacentral:rRNA from 1 species